AGCUUUGUGCAGCGGCAGUAUCAUAGCCAAUGAGGUUUAUCCAAGGAGUGAUUAUUGCUAAUUAAAAACAAAAUAUGACCACCUUGAAACAAUAAGACAUGUGGAUGGCCUUCCUUACAGAAUCGAUACUCAAGUUUCAUUGAAGCCAGUGGC
ensembl:snRNA U4 U4 spliceosomal RNA